rnacentral:rRNA from 1 species
AUGCUCUUGGCUGAAGGUUUCACAGUUCCAACACGGCUCUCUCUUGCAGGAUGCAAGGAACCAUUCUUUUCAUUUGAAGAAUCCGCAAAUUUCACAUCUGUCAAGGGCCUGAGUUUCGUUAGUUGUCAAAUGAUUUCCUUGCCAACAAAUCUGAAGUGCUUCCCCAAUCUGACUAAUCUCGUCAUCUAUAACUGCCCCAAAUUGUCAUCUUUACGAGAUCUGCCAUCCUCCCUCCUGAGCAUAUCUGUAUGGGGUUGUUCUAAGCUCUUGAAGGAGAGUUGCCGAGCACCUGAUGGAGAAAGUUGGCCAAAGAUUGCGCAUAUCCGCUGGAAGACAAUUGGUUAA